UGCGUAGGCGGAUCAAUAAGUCAGUGGUGAAAUCUCUCGGCUCAACCGGGAAACUGCCAUUGAUACUGUUGAUCUUGAGUUCGGUUGAGGUAGGCGGAAUGUGUAAUGUAGCGGUGAAAUGCUUAGAUAUUACACAGAACACCACUUGCGUAGGCAGCUUACUAGACCGACACUGACGCUGAGGCACGAAAGCGUGGGGAGCGAACAGGAUUAGAUACCCUGGUAGUCC
rnacentral:rRNA from 1 species